GUGUAUGUUCAUCCUCCAGCAGACAGUGAGCUGGUUGAUGGCUGUGAUGAAAUCGGCUUCAUCUCGGUAUCUCCAGCUCCCGGUAUGAACUAUGACCCGUAGAUGUUAGACACAGGAUACAAACUGACUGAAGCAAUGAGAAACUAUAUGGAGUCAGAUAACAGGUUUACAGAAGGACAGCGGGCUCCAGAGAUUUUUGACUCAUCAGCAAAAUGAAAUGUACAGAGAGAUUCUCUUCCAGUUUUCACUCUGCAUCUCCUGGUGUUGGUUGGUACCAUGAUAGGUUGCUAGACGUUCUAUGCUGACAUGACAACAUCCAGAGGAAAAAGAGAGAUCAUUUCCUGUGACUCUCUCUUAGGAGCAAGGAAGCAUUGCCCAUUAGCCAAGAGUGUACGUGUGCUCUUGCAUUAAUUGCUAAAAUGGGUUAUGCAUAAUUUCUGAAAUAAUUACUGGUUUUAUUUUAAAUUAGUCACAGACUUUCUAACAUUUCAUUUAAAUAAGAAUUCUAGCAGACUCAUAAAUUUCAUUAACUUUUCAUGCAUGUAUGAAGAAAGAACCAGAAUAAAGUAGAUCAUUUAUUUUAACAAAAAUUUUACAAAUAUGUAUACAGUUCAUAAAACAUGACAAUUUAAAUGUAUGUAUAAUUAAGACCACCAAACAUAAUUACAGACCAUUGAGAGGUUAAUGUUUAUUUUAAAAAGACAGCAAAAAUUCUGAAGUAUUAAAGUCUAUAUAUUUAGUGAGAACAGUUACUAGGAGUUUUUUAUUAUCUGAUUUUUGGGAGCUGUGGGGAACAGGGGAAAUAUUAUUGGUCUAACCUUGUAAGUAUUUUUUCCUCCCAGAGUCAGAGGAGCCUACUCUUUUAAUUCCUGGAAUUCUGUUAGCCUCAAGACUAAAGAUGGCCAAAAUUUACAAUGAGGAAAUGAACAAAGGUGUAAUUGGAAUUUGGGGAGAUAUAUUUAUUCAGUUCGUUUUCAUAGCACGUGCACACGUAGUACUAAAUUCAAAAGAAAAAAAGUGUUAUUCUCUCUGCU
rnacentral:lncRNA from 1 species